AGUAAUUGCAACAGGAUUUGGUUAUCUGUCAUGAUCUCUGAUUUUUUUCUGUUGUGGAAAAUGAAGGGAAUUCCAUUGAUAGACGACCGUCGUCAUGGAUUUACCUGCAAACGUUUGUACAUAAUUCCCGACACUCGCUAAGUUACAUCAUUUGGCAGGAACACGUUUCACAACGAAGACAAAUUUAAAAAUUUGCACUAAUAUUGAGCUGUACAAUUUUCUGGGAGAGGUCUCACUGGUCUGUUUGCAACAUUGAAGGUCACGAGCUGCAGAAGAAGGCAUUCGUGCUGUCAGACGGAAGCAAAAACGGUGAAGAAGUGGAGGUUGUUGAAACUUUAAAAGAAUUUCCUAAGUUCAAUAUUCACCUUGGAUAAUACAGAAUUUAUAGAGUUGCCUUCAACGAAUGAAAAGUUACUUCAUGGAUGACGAACGUUACGAGUCUAAAGGUGAAGGAACGGAAUAUUACCCCGACUAUGAAAGAUAUAUUUCAGGAAAAGAAUUGGAGAAGUGUUUUAGGAUGCUCUGUUUGUGAUUAUAUCUUUGAAGCUCAAGGAAAGGUGAAUGGUUUAUAUGUAAAUUGUUGGUCAGUUUUCCUGAAGACAUUCCUGUCAUUGCAACAUGAUUU